AUAGCCGGGCAUGUUUCUGAGGUAAGAUAUUACGAUGCGCCUUGCUCGACAAUGCAUUUUAUGUGUGCUGGCUUUAUAUGCACUCCUGACCGCGCUAGGACAACUGCCGUCCUGCGUACUUGCGGAAAAACAUGGUGGUGAAGUGACGUACGCAGAUCUGGAUUUAGACAAAACAAGAGGAAGAACGCCUGUUCCUCCGCGAGGUGAUCAAACGAUUUACACAUCGAUCAGAAAGAACUCGUCCCGACGGAUCAAGAGGUCGGAGGCAUUUCGUCGACCACGAUCACCACCGCGUGGUAAUAAAGCACCCAGACCACCACCACGAACAACAUCGCUUUCCAAUGCAAGCAAGCCUAUUCGAACGCCACGCCGACACAGAUCACCAUACCAAGGCCGUUAAGGCA
rnacentral:lncRNA from 1 species